GAGUGGCGAACGGGUGAGUAACACGUGGGUAACCUGCCCAUCAGAAGGGGAUAACACUUGGAAACAGGUGCUAAUACCGUAUAACAAUCGAAACCGCAUGGUUUCGUUUUGAAAGGCGCUUUACGGUGCCGCUGAUGGAUGGACCCGCGGUGCAUUAGCUAGUUGGUGAGGUAACGGCUCACCAAGGCCACGAUGCAUAGCCGACCUGAGAGGGUGAUCGGCCACAUUGGGACUGAGACACGGCCCAAACUCCUACGGGAGGCAGCAGUAGGGAAUCUUCGGCAAUGGACGAAAGUCUGACCGAGCAACGCCGCGUGAGUGAAGAAGGUUUUCGGAUCGUAAAACUCUGUUGUUAGAGAAGAACAAGGGUGAGAGUAACUGUUCACCCCUUGACGGUAUCUAACCAGAAAGCCACGGCUAACUACGUGCCAGCAGCCGCGGUAAUACGUAGGUGGCAAGCGUUGUCCGGAUUUAUUGGGCGUAAAGCGAGCGCAGGCGGUUUCUUAAGUCUGAUGUGAAAGCCCCCGGCUCAACCGGGGAGGGUCAUUGGAAACUGGGAGACUUGAGUGCAGAAGAGGAGAGUGGAAUUCCAUGUGUAGCGGUGAAAUGCGUAGAUAUAUGGAGGAACACCAGUGGCGAAGGCGGCUCUCUGGUCUGUAACUGACGCUGAGGCUCGAAAGCG
rnacentral:rRNA from 1 species